GGAGGAAAGUGGCGCACGGGUGCGUAACACGUGGAUAACCAACCCAUUGGUUUGGGACAACACCGGGAAACUGGUGCUAAUACCAGAUGUGUCGCAGCUGUCUUCAGGCGGUUGCGAGAAAGGCCCGCAAGGGUCGCCAACGGACGGGUCCGCGUCCCAUCAGCUAGUUGGUGAGGUAAUGGCUCACCAAGGCAAAGACGGGUAGCUGGUCUGAGAGGAUGAUCAGCCACACUGGAACUGAGACACGGUCCAGACUCCUACGGGAGGCAGCAGUGGGGAAUAUUGCGCAAUGGGCGAAAGCCUGACGCAGCCACGCCGCGUGAGCGAUGAAGGUCUUCGGAUCGUAAAGCUCUGUGGGGGGAGAAGAAGAAAGCCGGUGAAGAGCCGGCCCUGACGGUAUCCCCUUAGCAAGCACCGGCUAACUCCGUG
rnacentral:rRNA from 1 species